rnacentral:rRNA from 1 species
CUCGUAGGCGGCUUGUCGCGUCGACUGUGAAAACCCGCGGCUCAACCGCGGGCCUGCAGCCGAUACGGGCAGGCUAGAGUUCGGUAGGGGAGACUGGAAUUCCUGGUGUAGCGGUGAAAUGCGCAGAUAUCAGGAGGAACACCGAUGGCGAAGGCAGGUCUCUGGGCCGAUACUGACGCUGAGGAGCGAAAGCGUGGGAGCGAACA